CUUUAAGUGGUAGAGAGUGGGGAGGUAGGGUCUCGUUCCUGCAGAUGCCCUUCGGGAAGACUGCACAGACGUCCAGCCCCAGGAUGGCCUGGCUUGUGUGGACAUCAUGGAAGAGAGGAUGGAAAAUUGUAAGAGCCAGAAUACCAGGAAGUCUGCUAUGAAAGUUUCUCCUAGAAAUGGCUACAUAUACAUGACCAGAAAAAUGGUGACAUCAAUAGACAUGACAGGUGCGUUCCCUCAACUCUCAUGGAAGAAGCAGCUUCUUACAUGAUACAGAGACCCUCAUGGAAAAAUGUGCAGAAUGUAAGAGAUGUUGGAGCGCUCAGCUCUGAAUGGGAUGUCUUCAUGAACCCCUCCUCUCAAGGCUCAGGGAUCAACAAGGAAGAGGAGGUGGAAAAAUUCUCAGAGCCAGAGGCAGUGGAUGACUCCGAGAAAGCAGUGUCUUCCAGACCAAACAGGGAUUAUUUUUAUAUGAACUCAUACAGAUUGAGAAGACCCAUACAGGUUCAAACUAGAAAAAAUUCCCAGCACUGAAAAGGGGCAGUAGAC